AUGGAAACCCCGAAAUCAAUCCACCACGAGAGCGGUGAGGAGCGCCUCCGCCGGAUCCGCGCCAACCUCGGCCUCCUUGACCCGCCCGUGGCCCCGUCCGCCGCCCACGACGAAGGCCUCCGCGCCCGCGCCCUCGGCCUCCUCGACUUCGUCCGCCUCGACCUGUCCUCCUCCGGCGCCCCGCGCCCGGACCUCGUCGCCGAGCUCAUCGCCAACUACAAGCCGUCCCCGAAUCCCGGAUGGAGCUCCGUCCGUGGCCAAAAAAUCGAGGUCUCCAUCGAUUCAUUCGCCCAGGCGCUCCGCCUCCCAGGAAAACCUCUGUUCACUUACCCUUAUCCUGCCAGCGCCGUCGUGACCUCCGCCGCCGAAGAGUUCAUGAAGGUUUACAUCCUGGGGCCAAUAGAGUCUUCCACCGACAGGAAGCGCAGGCUGCCGCGGACGGUGGAUGAUGCAUUGAGGAAUUUGAAGGAUCUUCGGGCGCAUUGCAUUGACUGGGCAAAACUUAUCUGGGAACGAGUGCAGGAGGAGAUGCAACAACUGAUUGACAAUAAUAGGACCAGCACGGCAUGCUACUACGGUGCGUACCUGCAGAGGCUCAUCUGGGUGCAGAGCCAAAACCUCUUCCAGCUGCCACCAGAGCCGCCACUGGUAAAUGCACCACCCCAGCCAGCUGCAUUGUGCCCCCAGAAAAAAAGGCUAAAAAUCCGACUUCCGGUCAAUGAGAGCCAAAAGGUUGGCUCCCAAGCGAGUUCCGAGAAGAUUGAUGUGGGGCUAGAGAAGAUGAAUGCAACAUCCAAGGUGAUGAUAGAUGGGGCGUUAGAGAAGAUCGAUGCGGCGCUAGAGAAGAUGAAGGCAGCAUCCAAGGUGAUGAUAGAUGGGGCGUUAGAGAAGAUCGAUGCGGCAUCCAAGGUGAUGAUAGAUGCGGCAUCCAAGAUGAUUGAAGCCACAUCCAAGCAGCAUGACACUAGAGCUGGCGAGCAAGAUGGUGACAUGCAGGAGAUGCAGUCACUCGUCCAUACGCUGGUUACCAAGGAACGACAAAGCAAUGGCGAGUUGCAACGUGCUCGGAAAAUUCUGAUAGAUGAACUGCCGAAGUUUACAAAUGUGCAGGAACAUAUAGGCAUCAAAUGGAUGGGUGAGCUGGAUCUGAAAGCAUUUGCGAAUGCUUCUUGCAGCAAAAAUGUGCCACAAGAAGAUGCACAAGUGAACUCUGCUAUUCUUUGUUCAAAAUGGCAAGCUGAAAUCGCAAACCCGGGCUGGCAUCCUUUUAGGGUAGUCAUGGUUGAUGGUCAAGAGACGCAAAUUCUCUCAGAGGACGAUGACAAGCUACGCAGCUUAAAAGAGGAGCAUGGUGAGGAAAUCUACAGCUUGGUGACAAAGGGGCUGCUUGAGAUGAACGAGUACAACCCCAGCGGACGCUACGCCACACCGGAGCUGUGGAACCGUAAGGAUGACCGGAAAGCAACACUGGAGGAAGCCAUCCAGCAAGACAAUGAGAUGCAAGCAAUGAGAUCGCUCAACAAGACACUGGUUACCAAGGAAAUACAAAGCAACGAUGAGUUGCAGCAUGCCCGGAAGAUGCUCAUACAGCUUAUAACUUGCAACUUUGAGUCAUCAAUUUCUCAUAGGCUAGUAGCAUUCUAUAAUACAAAUACCGAGCGGGUUCAGUACAUGACAUCUGCCUUUGCAAACAUUCCCUUCUUUCUAGGAAAUCCUCUCGAUGACAAGCUUCGCGUCCUAAAAGAGGAGCAUGGUGAAGAAAUCUACAGCUUGGUGACAAAGGCGCUGCUCGAGAUCAACGAGUACAACCCCAGCGGACGCUACGUUGUACCUGAGGUGUGGAACUGCAAGAAUGACCGGAAGGCAACGCUGGAGGAAGGCAUCAAGUUCAUUGUCGAACAGUCCCAGUCACCCAAGAGGAACGUUGAGGCCCCAAAUAGUGAGUCUGGGGUGCCCUGCUUUUGCUUUGAUGAAACUGAUACGUGCCCCUUGAACUUUGACUUAUGGUAA
rnacentral:rRNA from 1 species